GUUGACCUUUUCCGAGCCCGAAGAAAAUGGCAAAGCGUGUUCUCAUUACUGGUGCCUCGGGAUUACUUGGCAGGGCCAUCUACAGGGAAUUCCUGAAGGACAACUCUUGGGAAACACUUGGACUGGCCUUCAGUCGCGUCAAAGAGAACUUGAAAAAAGUGGACAUCACUGACGAAAAUCAAGUGAAAGAAGUCAUCAGUACUUUCAAACCAUCAGUCAUAAUUCACAGUGCUGCAGAAAGAAGGCCUGAUGUAGUGGAAAACAACCCUACAGGAACACAGCAACUCAACAUACAGGCUACAGAACAUAUCUGCCAGGCUGCAAAGUCCAUUGGUGCUUGGGUUCUGUACAUCAGCACAGAUUAUGUGUUUGAUGGGACUUCUCCUCCAUACAAUGAAGACGCAAAGCCGAAUCCUCUGAAUAAGUAUGGGCAGAGUAAACUGGAGGGUGAAAAGAUUACACUGGGGGCAUCUUCAGAGAACUCUGUAUUAAGAGUGCCAAUUCUGUAUGGAGACAUAGAAUACCUCUCGGAAAGUGCAGUCACCAUUCUCUUUGAGAAUAUCUUGGCAGGAAAAGAAUCGAUUGCAUCAGAUUAUGAAAUAAAAUACCCCACUCACUGUGGGGACAUAGCUUAUACUAUCAGACAAUUAGCUGACAAAAGGCUACAGGUCAGUAUCCUGUAUGAUAAACAAGUUCAUAUUUGUUCAUUCACUUCUAACAAUGUAUCAAGAAAACAGUAUAACUAACUAUUUUCUCUUCACAGAUUCCAGAGAAAGUUUGUGGCGUGUUCCACUGGACAUCAAAUGAAAAAAUGACGAAAUAUCUAAUGUCCGUUGCCAUGGCAUCUGCAUUCUCCCUUGACACAAAGAACAUAAUACCGGACAAGAAUCCCUCCAAGGGUGCACCCCGGCCUUAUGACACACAUUUAUCCUGUGAAAAAAUGGAAGCCCUUGUCUCUGGGAGACGGACACUAUUUUCAGAUGGGAUAAAGUCGGUUUUGGAGCCAUAUGUUAAAAAAUAACGAGUAAAUUUCACUAAAUUAUUAUUUCAUUACAUUUAGGUAUUUGGUUUUAAUUUUUUCGACCAUGUGGCUUUGGGUUAUUUAUAUUUUAAAUACACUGGAAUGAAACUGUGCAUGGAAAAUUUAUAAGAAUUCUAACAUGUGGGGAAUAGUGGUUUAUUUACAAAAUAAGUGAUGAACACUUAUGUGGCAAAUACAUCAUAGUUUUAAUCAGACAAUAAAACACAUGUAAAAC
rnacentral:misc_RNA from 1 species